rnacentral:rRNA from 1 species
GAGUUUGAUUCUGGCUCAGGAUGAACGCUAGCUACAGGCUUAACACAUGCAAGUCGAGGGGCAGCAUUAUCUUAGCUUGCUAAGAUAGAUGGCGACCGGCGCACGGGUGAGUAACACGUAUCCAACCUUCCGGUUACUCGGGGAUAGGCUUUCGAAAGAAAGAUUAAUACCCGAUGUUGCGUAUCUUUCUCCUGAAAGAUACGCCAAAGGAUUCCGGUAACCGAUGGGGAUGCGUUCCAUUAGGCAGUUGGCGGGGUAACGGCCCACCAAACCUUCGAUGGAUAGGGGUUCUGAGAGGAAGGUCCCCCACAUUGGAACUGAGACACGGUCCAAACUCCUACGGGAGGCAGCAGUGAGGAAUAUUGGUCAAUGGACGCAAGUCUGAACCAGCCAAGUAGCGUGAAGGAUGACUGCCCUCUGGGUUGUAAACUUCUUUUAUACGGGAAUAACAUGAGGUACGCGUACCUUAUUGCAUGUACCGUUAUGAAUAAGCAU